UACAGAGGCCUCUAGCGUUAGGCGGAAUCACUGGGCUUAAAGCGUGUGUAGGCGGAAGCGUAAGUACCUUGUGAAAGCCCACGGCUCACCCGUGGAACCGCUGGGUAUACUGCGCUUCUUGGGCCACUCAGGGGCGACUGGAACAAGCGGUGGAGCGGUGAAAUGCGUAGAUAUCGCUUGGAACGCCGACGGUGAAAACAGGUCGCUGGGAGUGUGCCGACGCUGAGACACGAAAGCCAGGGGAGCAAACGGG
rnacentral:rRNA from 1 species